AGAAAGAACCAACAGGGAUUGCCUCAGUAACGGCGAGUGAAGCGGCAAGAGCUCAAAUUUGAAAGCUGGCCCCUUCGGGGUCCGCGUUGUAAUUUGCAGAGGAUGCUUCGGGUGCAGCCCCCGUCUAAGUGCCCUGGAACGGGCCGUCAUAGAGGGUGAGAAUCCCGUCUGGGACGGGGUGUCUGCGUCCGUGUGAAGCUCCUUCGACGAGUCGAGUUGUUUGGGAAUGCAGCUCUAAAUGGGUGGUAAAUUUCAUCUAAAGCUAAAUACUGGCCGGAGACCGAUAGCGCACAAGUAGAGUGAUCGAAAGAUGAAAAGCACUUUGAAAAGAGAGUUAAACAGCACGUGAAAUUGUUGAAAGGGAAGCGUUUGCGACCAGACUCGCCCGCGGGGUUCAGCCGGCAUUCGUGCCGGUGUACUUCCCCGUGGGCGGGCCAGCGUCGGUUUGGGCGGCCGGUCAAAGGCCCUCGGAAUGUAUCACCUCUCGGGGUGUCUUAUAGCCGAGGGUGCAAUGCGGCCUGCCUGGACCGAGGAACGCGCUUCGGCUCGGACGCUGGCGUAAUGGUCGUAAAUGACC
rnacentral:rRNA from 1 species